GGCGGUGUAGCUCAGUUGGUUAGAGCACCGGAAUCAUAAUCCGGGUGUCCGGGGUUCGAGUCCCUGCACCGCCA
rnacentral:tRNA from 2 species